rnacentral:rRNA from 1 species
AUUGAACGCUGGCGGCAGGCCUAACACAUGCAAGUCGAGCGGCAGCGGGAAAGUAGCUUGCUACUUUUGCCGGCGAGCGGCGGACGGGUGAGUAAUGCCUGGGAAAUUGCCCAGUCGAGGGGGAUAACAGUUGGAAACGACUGCUAAUACCGCAUACGCCCUACGGGGGAAAGCAGGGGACCUUCGGGCCUUGCGCGAUUGGAUCUGCCCAGGUGGGAUGAGCUAGUUGGUGAGGUACUGGCUCACCCAGGCGACGAUCCCUAGCUGGUCUGAGAGGAUGGUCAGCCACACUGGGACUGAGACACGGUCCAGACUCCUACGGGAGGCAGCAGUGGGGAAUAUUGCACAAUGGGGGAAACCCUGAUGCAGCCAUGCCGCGUGUGUGAAGAAGGCCUUCGGGUUGUAAAGCACUUUCAGCGAGGAGGAAAGGUUGAUGCCUAAUACGUAUCAACUGUGACGUUACUCGCAGAAGAAGCACCGGCUAACUCCGUGCCAGCCGCCGCUGUAAUAC